AAAUGAAAUAGGCCUUUAUUGAAACCGUCUAUCCUGGGAGGCAGUUUGGCUGUGGAAGAAUAGACUUUUGGUUUCAGAUAUACUUCAGCUCAAAUGGACUUUGGCGUUCUGCAGGCAAGCACUGGCUCAUCUGAACCUUCAAGAUCUCAAAGGGAGGACCUGAGAUGUAUGUAAGCAGAAGCCGCCGACCAACUUGGUGCCUGGGAUUGCCUCGCUCGUGGAUGUAGAACCUGGAACCGCGGGAGGGUGAGCGCUAAUGAGAGUCCUUUGGGGAUGCCGUGGGGUUGCCACGGGGCUGGGGUGCUGGCGAAAGAGGAGCUGUUUGCACGUUGUAGAGCCACCGGGGAAAGGACUGGAGGAGCGAGGCCGUGUUCCAGGGCACAGCACAGAGCGUUUGCGGAAGGAUUGACAGGCGGAGUAGACCUAACCAGUGUGCUCCGAGCACAUCUGGGCAUAGUUAAUUUGGGAAAUACUUCAUCUUUCAGAUGCUUUCCCUUAGAUUUACAUCAUCUGGAGCUCUGGAGCCGAGCUGCUGCCCUGGGCGGGUGCACGGAGGACAGAACCCUCAGUUACAGCUGGGUAACCCCGGACCUGAAUGGAGGGGGCCUGAACAACCAGAGGUGGACGUUUUCUGCGAAUGAUGGAAAUCUUGCUUUCCUAUUGGGAAUCCAGGUGGAUUGCUACCUUGAAGUUACUGCACUGAACAGUGGCUUAAACAAAGCAGGGGUUUUGUUCUCUAGUAACAAGGAGGUUGGGGUAGGUGAUUGCUGUGUUGGUUCAGCAGCUCACAGAUGUCAGGGUCAGGGUGGCCUCUCGGGUGCCCUUGCCUUUCCCUCAGGUGGCUGCAGUUCCCCUAAAGAAGCUGGAGAAGGCCAAAGGUCAUGCCAGUUCGAAUUGCUCCCUUUUAGAGAGUUUUCUCAGCCGCCCAACAACUGCCAGACUGUGUCACUGGCUACUGCUAUCCACAGAGUGGCCUGAGAAAUAUAGUCUUGGUAGCUGGGCAUAUAACUGCCUUCAACAAAAAUCUGAGUUCUCGUCAUGAGGUAGAUGAUGAUAGAUCUGGAGUGAACAACUAGCCUGUGUCCUGGCUACAAAGUACAGCUGUAAAGGCGCACAGCUUCGGGGCAGAUCAGCACUCUAGCACCUUCACAGGUGGCCGCCCGCCCAGCACCGCUGCUCUGCUCGCAGAGAGCGAGCGCAGAGUGAAGACGGGCUAGGCUUUCUUGCCAGCACUUGCCAAGACUGAGCUGGACUCUCAGCCAAUACACUUGCCCACAUCAGGAUUUUCCAGAGGAGGACCCUGGGAACGUGCACACUCCCUUGGUGGACAUACUCUCUUUAUGGAGGUUCGGAAUGGCAUGAAGAAUAUUCCUACCUUGCUGCUUCCUCAUCGGCUUCAUGUUUCUCUUCUCCAAUUUUCCUGACAGAUUUUUGGAGGAGUCUUGUUUGUGUAUGUGAUCUCCAUACAAGGAUCAUCCCUUUCAUGCCCAGAGGAGGGUCUAUGUAAAGAAAGCUGCUUUACCCCUUUUUGUGACUCCACUACCAAUCUAGGAAUCUCCUGGGUGAAAAACUGCUUCUCAAAACUGCUUCUAUAAGCAGCCCACACCCUGGCUAAGCAAAGGGAGAGGAAACACUUCCCACGUCCAGGGCUGUUCAAAAGAACUUUCUGUGAUGACAGAAAUGUUCUGUCUGCACUGUCCAAGAGGGCAGCCCCUAGCCCCAGUGAACACUUGAAAUGUGGCUAGUGUGACAUUUACAUAAAAAGUACAUUGUAAGUAAUGUAAAUGCAAGUGGCCACGUGUGGCUGGUGGCUGUGGUGUGGCACAGCGGGGCACACACGGCAUCUUGCACUUUAGAGCCAGCUGGGAGGGGUUUGAGCCAGCCCUGCGCCAGGCGUUCCGUGGUCUUCACUAUUCCGCCUUGCCGUUGAACUUGUCUUCUGGAGAAAAAGGAAAAAAUGGAACUAAAUUCAAGAUGUUCACUUGACAUCUCCUCAUUGCACGCAUAAUGGAGAGGGGUCUCCUGGGAAUCGGUCCUGUGAUUGAUUUUAGCGAUUAUUGAUAAUGGGAAAAUGGCGGAGCUGAUCCACGUAGCAAUUCCUAGGGAACAUUGUGUGUUCCUGGUCAGAUAAGUCAGCGGAGAUUAUUUUGUUCUAUUGUGCAAUUCAUUGUGUUACUUUAUUUUUGUUGUAUUAUGGCUGCUAAAUGAUGAUUUCGUGUAUGUUUUUCAAAAUACUUAGUGGUUUAUAUUUUUUUAAAGGCUGUGAAAUAAAAAAUAA
rnacentral:lncRNA from 1 species